AACUUACGCUAAUACCGCAUACGACCUACGGGUGAAAGCAGGGGAUCUUCGGACCUUGCGCGAUUGAAUGAGCCGAUGUCGGAUUAGCUAGUUGGCGGGGUAAAGGCCCACCAAGGCGACGAUCCGUAGCUGGUCUGAGAGGAUGAUCAGCCACACUGGAACUGAGACACGGUCCAGCCUCCUACGGGAGGCAGCAGUGGGGAAUAUUGGACAAUGGGCGCAAGCCUGAUCCAGCCAUACCGCGUGGGUGAAGAAGGCCU
rnacentral:rRNA from 1 species